rnacentral:rRNA from 1 species
ACUCCUACGGGAGGCAGCAGUGGGGAAUAUUGCACAAUGGGGGAAACCCUGAUGCAGCCAUGCCGCGUGUGUGAAGAAGGCCUUCGGGUUGUAAAGCACUUUCAGUAGGGGGAAGGAGUAGUGUAGUUAACACCUGCACUAUUUGACGUUACCUACAGAAGAAGCACCGGCUAACUCCGUGCCAGCAGCCGCGGUAAUACGGAGGGUGCGAGCGUUAAUCGGAAUUACUGGGCGUAAAGCGCAUGCAGGCGGCCUGUUAAGUCAGAUGUGAAAGCCCGGGGCUUAACCUCGGAAUUGCAUUUGAAACUGGCAGGCUAGAGUCUUGUAGAGGGGGUG